rnacentral:rRNA from 1 species
CCUACGGGGGGCAGCAGUGGGGAAUAUUGGACAAUGGACCAAGAGUCUGAUCCAGCAAUUCUGUGUGCACGAUGAAGUUUUUCGGAAUGUAAAGUGCUUUCAGUUGGGAAGAAAAAAAUGACGGUAUCAACAGAAGAAGUGACGGCUAAAUACGUGCCAGCAGCCGCGGUAAUACGUAUGUCACGAGCGUUAUCCGGAUUUAUUGGGCGUAAAGCGCGUCUAGGGGGUUAUGUAAGUCUGAUGUGAAAAUGCAGGGCUCAACUCUGUAUUGCGUUGGAAACUGUGUAACUAGAGUACUGGAGAGGUAAGCGGAACUACAAGUGUAGAGGUGAAAUUCGUAGAUAUUUGUAGGAAUGCCGAUGGGGAAGCCAGCUUACUGGACAGAUACUGACGCUAAAGCGCGAAAGUGUGGGUAGCAAACAGGAUUAGAUACCCUAGUAGUC